AUAUCUCCCAGUCUGCACCCCUAGCGCUCACCAAUCUCGUCUCCGUGCCCCAUACGCGCCAACGCAUACAGCAACUCUGGAGACAGUAAAGCAGGGACGCCUUUCAGCACAACCAUGUCUGCAGACUGGGCGGGGCCUCUGGGAACCCGGCCAGGGGACAAGAGCGGGACUCUGGGGUCAAUGGUCUCACCCAGCAUGAACCUCUACAUGUGUUCAGAUUUGGCAAUGAGCAUGUCCACAUCUGUGCUCCCACGCCCAGCCUUCCCUGCUCCCUGGCUGGGGACAUGCCAUUCCACCCCGUUGGGCCCAAAUCAAGUUCCCUUUGUACCUGCUUCUGUAAAUAAGAAUGUGCCAGAGUCCAAGAUCCAGAGGCUUAUCUGCCAAGGUUACCUGCCUUCUGUGUGAAGGGGGCCUGACUGCAUGAGAACUAUGCUGGCCCUCCCACAGAUGCUGUGAAGAAUAAGGAUUCCAGGAGAAUGAAAAUGAGGGCAGACUUGUGGGUGGAGAACUGUGCAUGAGUGCAUAGCACCCAUGUAUGAAACAAAGCAUCACACCUAAGGAUGUAUGCACAUUUGGGGACAGAAAAUCUUGAAAGGGUGCAUGCCCAGCUGUUCACAGAGGUUAAUUAACCUGGGGAUGUGACAUCGGUAUAGCUUACUUUAUGGACCUCAGCUUUAUUUGAAUGUUAUCACAAUGAAAAAAAAAAUUAAACUAACCGAUAUAUAGGGUAUUUACCCUUUAAAGAUGAUUAAAAACAAAGUAUAACCAACUCGAAGUAGCUACUUUAAUCAGCAUUAUUUUGUUCAAAUCAACAGACAGGAACAUCUUUCCUUGAGCACCUACAAAUACCAUGACCGGGCAGGCACCCACCUUCCAUCUGGACUCAAUCUGUGCACAAAGGAACCCCUGGCAAACUAGUAUCCCAGUUCCUGAAGUGAAGUAAAAAA